AGAUUGAACGCUAGCGGCGUGCCUAACACAUGCAAGUCGAGCGGUAACAGGUGUAGCAAUACAUGCUGACGAGCGGCGAACGGGUGAGUAAUGCUUCGGAAUCUACCUUAUGGUGGGGAAUAACUAGCCGAAAGGUUAGCUAAUACCGCAUACGUCCUACGGGAGAAAGCAGGGGAUCGCAAGACCUUGCGCCAAAAGAUGAGCCGAAGUCGGAUUAGCUAG
rnacentral:rRNA from 1 species